AAACAAUUGAGACAUUAUUUAUGUAACAACUGUAUAUAAAGUAUUUCCUGUUCUGUUUUAAAAUGUUAACCGCUUGCCAAGAAUGGUAGCACGUACCUAUAAUUCUAGUACUUGGGAGGCUGAGGCAAGAGGAUCAGGAGUUUGAAACCAGCCUAGGCUACAUAGCAAGUUCAAGGCCAGUGCUGACCACAAAAGGGAGGCCCUGUAUCAACAAGAAAACAAAACUACUACUAAAUUGGUUUCUUGUUUUUGUUUUUGGUACAGAGGCUUGAACUUGAGACCUUGGGCUUAGUGAGGCAGGUGGCAGAACCACUGAGCGAAAUCCCCAGCCCUGCUACUAAAUUGUUAGCUGCUUUAAUUUUGAUACCUCUAUGAGCCUCAUCUCUCACCCCCGCCAUUGGAGUUACCUGGUUCCUCCAGAUUCCAAGCUUCCCUGUGGUUCCAAGGGUACGUGGCCAGCAACCAGAGUCUGCAGGCAUGGUCUAUGGAGAGAACCUCAGCAUGUUAAUCACGCAGUCAGCUCACAUCUUGGUUAAGAAGAGAUGGCGAAUCAGUAAAGAGAAUAUGCAUAUUUCAACCGGAAGAAUCCACAGUACCGCUGCUCACUCAAUGUUUAUGUAAUUAUCAUGAAUUUCAAAUUAAUGUCAUCUGAAUAAAUGGGGUCACACAUUAAAGAAGCAAAACAUGAUCGUUAGGGUAUUUUGGUUUUAAAAUUUGAUGAUUCUAUAUACAUAACAAAUUAGAGGGGAAUAAACAACUAAAUAAUUGAAGAAGGCUACUUUUGGUCAGGGUUGUUCUCAAUACUGGAAAGCUCUGACCUAAGAAAACACAGGC
rnacentral:lncRNA from 1 species